rnacentral:rRNA from 1 species
AACGAACGCUGGCGGCGCGCCUAAUACAUGCAAGUCGGAGCGAGAAGACGUAGCAAUACGUUUGUAAAGCGGCGAACGGGUGAGGAAUACAUGGGUAACCUACCCUCGAGUGGGGAAGUAACUAGCCGAAAGGUUAGCUAAUACCGCGUACGCUCCUUGGACUUCGGUUCAGGGAGGAAAGACGAUACCGUGGGUAUCGCGCUCUUGGAUGGGCUCAUGUCCUAUCAGCUUGUUGGUGAGGUAACGGCUCACCAAGCUUCGACGGGUAGCUGGUCUGAGAGGACAAUCAGCCACACUGGCACUGCGACACGGGCCAGACUCCUACGGGAGGCAGCAGUAAGGAAUAUUGCGCAAUGGGCGAAAGCCUGACGCAGCGACGCCG